rnacentral:tRNA from 4 species
UGGGGUGUGGUGAAGUGGUAUCACGGCAGAUUCUGGUUCUGCUUUCAGGGGUUCGAAUCCUCUCACCCCAGCCA